UUACUGCGUACUCGAGCCGGCCGGCGUCCAGACUUAUCAACGAGGCCGGUUAUCAAUGCACUUCCGCGGGACAGCUGGAAAAAACGUCGGGUAGAAAUCGAAGGCGGUGUCGCCGCGGGGAAAGUUCGCGUCCGAACCAGCCGCUAAUAGACGACCACGACGCGAACAAGAAACGAAUCCUCGGAGCUUUGACACGUUACUGCCAGAUUACUUUCUCGGGUUCGUCCCUUGGUAUCGAUUCAAUACUUCUCCAGUGAAAAGCCCUGACGUUCAUAUAUGGGUGAGCUGGCGUCAACAUGCAUCCCUAACCAACAUCGAACAAAACACAACGCGCGAAAGACUUUCUCCGCGCGAAUCCCGCUCGUUUGGAUCGCAGUUAAAAAGCGACGACCUUCGACGAUGCAUUAUCUCAUCGUACGCGAGGCACCUCAUAAACGAAACACUUUCUCCGCGCGAAUUUAUCGCGACGAAGUACUUGAAAUAACACUUCUGGUAGGUCGACCUUUGUGCGAUCCAACGCGAUUUCGAGCUACUCCGAUCGUUUAUCUAAUAGCUUGUCACGCGAAGUAUCAUUGACGUCGUUGGUUUUGAAGUUUGCGAAAUGUUUCACGGCGGGAACGCUAAUGCAGUUGUCAAACGAGUAGUUGAGAGUAUUCUAUUGCGUUUAAGUGUAGGAAAUGUGUUUAUAAGUGAUUUGAUUGAAAUUCAUGAUGGCGUUGAUAUUGUGGGAAUUUUUAUACAUUGCUUUCUUUAUGAAUUUGGUCGUGAGUAAGCCACUCGUUUGUUUUGUAAAAGAAUAUUUUUUCAUGAAAAUGAAUACAUGUUCCUUUCGAAUACGCGCAAAUAAUUGUGCAAAAAUUAAGGAAACUACAAUGUGAAUACAAUAGUGUUCAGUAAACAAAUUGAGAACAAAAUUCACCAUCGAUUAAACUAUCGAAUUUUGUUCGCUGAUGUCAUUGACUAUUCUAGACAUUUGAAAUGGUUCCGAUAUAGCUACCGUGUAUAACGCAGACGCUAUUCCGGUCGCGACCCUGGAUCGUCUUGCCAGCUCGAUUUUAACGCGGAUUGAAACUGGUAUUGGACGAUACCACGAGUCGCUCCGAGGAAGAAAAACAAACCGCGAAUCACACGCUCGUCUUUGUCCAUUAAUCUCGUGCCCGUCCUUUCAUUUGUCGGCGCGGUUUAAUAAAUUCAUCGAGUGGCGUUCGCGUAAUUCCUAGGCAGCGACUGGCGCUAUAUAGCCACGCUGCAUCGAUCGUAUCGAGAUCUAGUCGAUCCUUAUGGCUGCGACGCAUCAGCUCACCGAUGACGAUGACUUUGCUACCACGGAGACCAAAGAUGGACAUUAUUCGAUUUCACGAUAUUGGAUAUUUGAGUAUUCUUGAUUUCUAGCUUCCUUCUUUCAAACAUACGUUACAGCCGUUAUAAAAAUCAAAGGAUUAUGGACAAAAUAUUAAGGUAUAAUAAAACUUGUAAAUCUUUGUACGAAAAAUUAGGGUGCAAAACUGAUUCCAUAAAUUCUUAUUAUUUUAGCCAAAGGAAAACAAAUCUUAAAUGUUAUAAAA